GCCAGGUGUGGUGGCACACACCUGUGGUCCCAGCUACUCAGGAGGCUGAGGCAGGAGGAUGGCUUGAGCCCAGGAGUUCAAGGCUGCAGUGAGCCAUGAUCACACCACUGCACUCCAGCCUGGGUGACAGAGCAAGAUUCUGUCUCUU
ensembl:misc_RNA Metazoa_SRP Metazoan signal recognition particle RNA